rnacentral:rRNA from 1 species
UAACAGUUGGAAACGGCUGCUAAUACCGCAUAAGACCACAAUGCCGCAUGGCAAAGGGGUUCAAAAGGAGGAAUCCGCAGAAGGAGGGGCUCGCGUCCCAUUAGAUAGUAGGCGGGGUAACGGGCCCACCUAGUCAACGAUGGGUAGCCGAGCUGAGAGGCUGAACGGCCACACUGGAACUGAGACACGGUCCAGACUCCUACGGGAGGCAGCAGUGGGGAAUAUUGGGCAAUGGGCGCAAGCCUGACCCAGCAACGCCGCGUGAGGGAAGAAGGCUUUCGGGUUGUAAACCUCUGUCCUUGGUGACGAAGGAAGUGACGGUAACCAAGGAGGAAGCCCCGGCUAACUACGUGC